CCUACGGGUGGCAGCAGUGGGGGAUAUUGCACAAUGGGGGGAACCCUGAUGCAGCGACGCCGCGUGGGUGAAGGAGUGCUUCGGCAUGUAAAGCCCUAUCGGCAGGGAAGAAGCAAGACGGUACCUGACUAAGAAGCCCCGGCUAACUACUUGCCAGCAGCCGCGGUAAUACGCAGGGGGCGAGCGUUAUCCGGAUGUACUGGGUGUAAAGGGAGCGUAGACGGCCAUGCAAGCCAGGGGUGAAAGCCCGGGGCCCAACCCCGGGACUGCCCUUGAAACUGUGCGGCUAGAGUGCGGUAGGGGCAGGCGGAAUGCCUGGUGUAGCGGUGAAAUGCGUAGAUAUCAGGAGGAACACCGGCGGCGAAGGCGGCCUGCUGGACCGCGACUGACGUUGAGGCUCGAAAGCGUGGGGAGCGAACAGGAUUAGAUACCCCAGUAGUC
rnacentral:rRNA from 1 species